GGCUGUAGCUCAGCAGCAGAGCUUUUGCUCUGCAUGCAGAAGGCUGCAAGUUCAAUUCCUGGCAUCGCCA